rnacentral:rRNA from 1 species
AGAGUUUGAUCAUGGCUCAGGAUGAACGCUAGCUACAGGCUUAACACAUGCAAGUCGAGGGGCAGCAUGUUGGUUGCUUGCAACCAAUGAUGGCGACCGGCGCACGGGUGAGUAACGCGUAUCCAACCUACCCUUGUCCAUUUUCGGAUAACCCGUCGAAAGGCGGCCUAACACGAUAUGCGGUUCUCAGCAGGCAUCUAACGAGAACGAAAUGUGAAGGAGAAGGAUGGGGAUGCGUCUGAUUAGCUUGUUGGCGGGGUAACGGCCACCAAGGCGACGAUCAGUAGGGGUUCUGAGAGGAAGGUCCCCCCACAUUGGAACUGAGACACGGUCCAAAACUCCUACGGGAGGCA